rnacentral:ncRNA from 14 species
AAUGAAUAUAGGACAGAUGAACUAUGGCUAUACUUGGACGCCUUAUGCCAUAGGGAUGUGGUGGCGUAACCGACUAAUGACUUC